rnacentral:precursor_RNA from 1 species
UGCCUAAAUUAGAGUACAGAUUGAAUUUACAAAUAUCAAUCAAGUCCUCUGAACUUAGGAGA